UACGUAGGGGGCAAGCGUUGUCCGGAAUCAUUGGCGGUAAAGCGCGUGUAGGCGGCCAGGUAAGUCCGUUCUGAAAGCCCGGGGCUCAACCCCGGGAGGCGGAUGGAUACUGCUUGGCUCGAGUCCGGAAGAGGCGAGUGGAAUUCCCGGUGUAGCGGUGAAAUGCGCAGAUAUCGGGAGGAACACCAAUGGCGAAGGCAGCUCGCUGGGACGGUACGUGACGCUGAGACGCGAA
rnacentral:rRNA from 1 species